ensembl:snRNA U6 U6 spliceosomal RNA
AUGCUCACUUAAGCACACACAUACUAAAAUUGGAAUGAUACAGAGAUUAUCAUGGCUGUUAUAGAAGGAUGACAUGAAAAUUCAUGAAGCUUUCAAUACUUUU